UACGGAGGGUGCGAGCGUUGUCCGGAAUCACUGGGCGUAAAGGGCGCGUAGGCGGCUCGCCAAGCGUGCGGUGAAAGCCCGGGGCUCAACCCCGGGUCGGCCGUGCGAACUGGCGGGCUAGAGCCCACUAGAGGCAGGCGGAAUUCCGGGUGUAGCGGUGGAAUGCGUAGAGAUCCGGAAGAACACCGGUGGCGAAGGCGGCCUGCUGGGGUGGAGCUGACGCUGAGGCGCGACAGCGUGGGGAGCAAACAGGAUUAGAAACCCCCGUAG
rnacentral:rRNA from 1 species